rnacentral:rRNA from 1 species
UGGGGAAUAUUGGACAAUGGGCGAAAGCCUGAUCCAGCCAUGCCGCGUGUGUGAAGAAGGUCUUCGGAUUGUAAAGUACUUUAAGUUGGGAGGAAGGGCAGUAAGCGAAUACCUUGCUGUUUUGACGUUACCGACAGAAUAAGCACCGGCUAACUCUGUGCCAGCAGCCGCGGUAAUACAGAGGGUGCAAGCGUUAAUCGGAAUUACUGGGCGUAAAGCGCGCGUAGGUGGUUCGUUAAGUUGAAUGUGAAAGCCCCGGGCUCAACCUGGGAACUGCAUCCAAAACUGGCGAGCUAGAGUAGGGCAGAGGGUGGUGGAAUUUCCUGUGUAGCGGUGAAAUGCGUAGAGAUAGGAAGGAACACCAGUGGCGAAGGCGACCACCUGGGCUCAUACUGACACUGAGGUGCGAAAGCGUGGGGAGCAAACAGG